rnacentral:rRNA from 1 species
UCGAACGGUAACAGGAAGAAGCUUGCUUCUUUGCUGACGAGUGGCGGACGGGUGAGUAAUGUCUGGGAAACUGCCUGAUGGAGGGGGAUAACUACUGGAAACGGUAGCUAAUACCGCAUAACGUCGCAAGACCAAAGAGGGGGACCUUCGGGCCUCUUGCCAUCGGAUGUGCCCAGAUGGGAUUAGCUAGUAGGUGGGGUAACGGCUCACCUAGGCGACGAUCCCUAGCUGGUCUGAGAGGAUGACCAGCCACACUGGAACUGAGACACGGUCCAGACUCCUACGGGAGGCAGCAGUGGGGAAUAUUGCACAAUGGGCGCAAGCCUGAUGCAGCCAUGCCGCGUGUAUGAAGAAGGCCUUAGGGUUGUAAAGUACUUUCAGCGGGGAGGAAGGGAGUAAAGUUAAUACCUUUGCUCAUUGACGUUACCCGCAGAAGAAGCACCGGCUAACUCCGUGCCAGCAGCCGCGGUAAUACGGAGGGUGCAAGCGUUAAUCGGAAUUACUGGGCGUAAAGCGCACGCAGGCGGUUUGUUAAGUCAGAUGUGAAAUCCCCGGGCUCAACCUGGGAACUGCAUCUGAUACUGGCAAGCUUGAGUCUCGUAGAGGGGGGUAGAAUUCCAGGUGUAGCGGUGAAAUGCGUAGAGAUCUGGAGGAAUACCGGUGGCGAAGGCGGCCCCCUGGACGAAGACUGACGCUCAGGUGCGAAAGCGUGGGGAGCAAACAGG